UUCAGCAGAUAUAAAUCCAAUUGGAAGUAUUAGUAAGUAGGAUCUUCGUAGAUUUUUGGGAUGGGCUGCCACUCAUCUUGGAUAUGCAUCUUUAGCAAAAAUCGAAGCUGUUCCCCCCACUGCUGAAUUGGAGCCUAUACGGUCCAACUACAGCCAGCUGGAUGAGGUGGACAUGGGAAUGACAUAUGAGGAACUUUCAGUCUAUGGAAUGUUGCGAAUUUUCCGCUGCGGUCCUAUAUCCAUGUUCUAGAAUCUCUGCUAUAAAUGAGGUGCAAAACUAACUCCAUCAGAGGUGGCUAAUAAAGUGACGCACUAUGACAAGAUAAGUGGAAGAAGCCGAGGGUUUGGCUUUGUGACGAGGAGAAGUAAGCAAAGCAGGGCCUCUGGUUGUGUAUGAGCGUAGAAUUGCCAUGAGUGAUCUUGUGGAUGGGGAUAGUAGUCAGGUAAUAUUGCAAUCAAUUCACUCUUUAUGUUUGAUUAAAAGUUUCAAAGGAAAAGUUAGUAGUUUGUAUGUCUCUUCUAAAUUUUCUCCAACCUAGAAGGUUAAGUUUCUCAUAUUCAAUCGGAAUUUUAGGUGAAGUAGCCGUGUAUCAAUUAGUUAUCAUGAGCAUACAACUACCUUUUG